rnacentral:tRNA from 1 species
GGAGAGAUGCCUGAGCGGCCGAAAGGGGCUGAUUCGAAAUCAGUUGUCCUAGCAAUGGGACCGGGGGUUCGAAUCCCUCUCUCUCCGCCA